AGAACGACCAGACCUAUUUUUGCUCUCUAGAGAGGAUCUCUUGGAUGCUUAGGCUCCUUUUCAUCUUUUCUAGGGUUUGCUCUUCCAUUCUUCUUCCAUUUUUCAUCUAGUUUCACCAUGUCUAUGGUGAACUAAACCCUAUUGUUGUUGGGGAAAACAAUGUAAUCUUUUGAUACUCUCUCUUAUUGAAACUAUUGAAUAUUUAUAUGGUCUCCAUAUGUUCGAUUGAUUAUUGUUGGGUUAUCAUUUGUGCUUAUGGCCUUUAUCGUUUAACUCAUUCGGUAUAUUGAUGUUUGUCGUUAUUGAUAUGGGGACGUACAGUAAUGACAUGAACUGGUGAGUAAUCUCUUGAUUUUGCAAUACCACCUAGGGAUAGGGGUAGGACGAUCAAUUGCGCUAAUUUCUGUUUAUAAUGUAGUAUUAAUUACUAGGGGAGGCUAGGGAUAGCAAGCCAGUAGUUAAUAUUAGGCCCUUUUCGCCGAGGGAUCGGGUUAAGGGGAGGCUAAGAAAGUCGCAUAACAAUUGAAUCAAUCUAAUAUUCAAGGCUAAUAUUCAAGGGUAGUAUGUAAGAGAGAGCGGAAUAGAUGAAAUUGUUAGUACCCAACAACAUUCAUUCCUCCAUUGUUUUCGUUUGUCAAUUGAAUGAACUUUAUCUUUGCAUGUUAAUAUAUUUUGUCUCAAAACCAAUUUAUUAAUUUUUAUUUUUCAAGUCUUAUUAUUUUAAUUCAUGCGAACGAGA
rnacentral:lncRNA from 1 species